UACGUAGGGUGCAAGCGUUAUCCGGAAUUAUUGGGCGUAAAGAGCUCGUAGGCGGUUUGUCGCGUCUGCUGUGAAAACUGGAGGCUCAACCUCCAGCCUGCAGUGGGUACGGGCAGACUAGAGUGCGGUAGGGGAGAUUGGAAUUCCUGGUGUAGCGGUGGAAUGCGCAGAUAUCAAGAGGAGCACCCAUGGCGAAGGCAGCUCGCUGGCCUAUAACUGACGCUGAGGCGCGAAAGCUGGGGGAGCAAACAGG
rnacentral:rRNA from 1 species